rnacentral:lncRNA from 1 species
UCCUCUGACAUUUUUUUCCUUUUCAUCUGAAAUUUAUUAGAAAUAUUUUUGAUAUUAUAUGGUUAGUGAUCUUGGAUUCUCAUAACAUACUAAACAAAUUACUUAUACAUACCUGAGAAUCUUUAAUCAGUGCACUAUGUCAACUAAACAUAGUGAUCUUAGAUCACCACAGAUCAUCCUAAAAUUUGGAUCACGAGUGAUCUUAUCAUGGUGAUCACAAUUGGAUCAUCAAACGCCCCCCAUAUGGGCUAUAAUG